rnacentral:rRNA from 1 species
UAGGUGGUCUGAGAGGACGAUCACCCAGACUGGGACUGAGACACGGCCCAGACUCCUACGGGAGGCAGCAGUCGGGAAUUUUGCUCAAUGGGCGAAAGCCUGAAGCAGCAAGGCCGCGUGAGGGAUGAAGGCCUUCGGGUUGUAAACCUCUUUUUCCAGGGACGAUAAUGACGGUACCUGAAGAAUAAGUCACGGCUAACUACGUGCCAGCAGCCGCGGUAAUACGUAGGUGACUAGCGUUGUCCGGAUUUACUGGGCGUAAAGAGCGCGCAGGCGGUCGUUCAAGUCGAGUGUGAAAGCCCCCGGCUCAACUGGGGAGGGUCACUCGAUACUGAUCGACUGGAAGGCAGGAGAGGGAAGCGGAAUUCCCGGUGUAGUGGUGAAAUGCGUAGAUAUCGGGAGGAACACCAGUGGCGAAGGCGGCUUCCUGGCCUGUUCUUGACGCUGAGGCGCGAAAGCUAGGGGAGCAAACGGGAUUAGAUACCCCGGUAGUCCUAGCCGUAAACGAUGGACACUAGGUGUUGGUGGUAUCAACCCCACCAGUGCCGAAGCUAACGCAUUAAGUGUCCCGCCUGGGGAGUACGGCCGCAAGGCUAAAACUCAAAGGAAUUGACGGGGCCCCGCACAAGCAGCGGAGCGUGGGGUUUAAUUCGAUGCAACGCGAAGAACCUUACCAGGGCUUGACAUGACCAGGAAUCCGGCGGAAACGUCGGCGCCCCGCAAGGGGCCUGGCCACAGGUGUUGCAUGGCUGUCGUCAGCUCGUGUCGUGAGAUGUUGGGUUAAGUCCCGCAACGAGCGCAACCCCUAUCGUGUGUUGUAUCACUCACACGAGACUGCCGAGAGAAACUCGGAGGAAGGCGGGGAUGACGUCAAGUCAGCAUGGCCCUUACGUCCUGGGCUACACCCACGCUACAAUGGCCGGUACAACGGGCGGCGAAACCGCGAGGUGGAGCAAAUCCCUUAAAGCCGGUCUCAGUUCGGAUUGUAGGCUGCAACUCGCCUACAUGAAGCCGGAGUUGCUAGUAACCGCCGGUCAGCAUACGGCGGUGAAUAUGUUCCCGGGGCUUGUACACACCGCCCGUCACGUCAUGAAAGCUGGCAACACCCGAAGCCGGUGGGCCAACCCGCAAGGGAGGCAGCCGUCGAAGGUGGGGUCGGUGAUUGGGACGAAGUCGUAACAAGGUAGCCGUACGGGAACGUGCGGCUG